UGCUCCGGUAGUGUAGCUCGGCCAAUCAUCUCGGCCUUUCGAGCCAAGGACUCGGGUUCAAAUCCCGGCCGGAGCAU
rnacentral:tRNA from 1 species